rnacentral:lncRNA from 1 species
AAACGACAAGUUUUCUUUCUUCUUUCAGCUUCCCUUUAUCGAAAUGUCAAUGUUUCAAUCGGUUCAAGUUUUCUGUUUUUUAACAAGUAACAAGUAAAAAAAGUUGCACGAAGAAAAUUUAAUUUGCAAACAACGUGUAAUAACCUUUUUGCACACCGAGAUGUUUUUCGAAGAGUAAAAACAUCUGAUUGGGAUAGCUUUAAUCGAUUAACAAGACAGAAUUUUUCUUAGUUUCAAUUAUAGUGCGUCACUAUCAAGAGUUUAAAUGUUAUUUCAUCACGAGGAUUUCAUAUUACAAUGUAAAGGGGAAACUGAUUUAAAACGUAAAUUCUUAAUCACGAUGUUAUAAAUGUUUAAAGUUUGUCAAGGAAAAUUAAACGAAUUCAAUAAAAAACAUUUCAUACGGAAAGGAUUAAAAAAAUACGUUAAGGAUAUACGUGACGAAGAAAAUUGUCGUCGUAUCACGUUUCGUGCCACGUGGAUCACCGUUGACCCACAUUUCUGUUCUACGUCGCGAAGAACAUUUACUUCCAUCAAACAAACAACGGAAUGAAAACAAUACGAAAUUAUACGAUUGAAUAAUAGAGAAUAGAGAAUUCGAGUGAGAAUUUCCAACAUUUCUGAGUAAAUUUGGAUUCAUUGGGUUUAUUGGAUUAAUGGAGAUACAAUGCAUGUACGUGCGUGUACGCGCGGCAAGAAUUCGCGAGCGGAAAGGAGACAGGAAUAAAAAUUACAAAAAAUGAGCAUGUUUCAAUUACAAAAAAAAAAGAAAGAAAGAAACUUGAAAAGUGCAAAAAAAUGAAAAAAGAAUAAAGAGAAAAGAAGAGAGAUAGAAGUUCGAUCGAAGUUGUUGAAAAGAGGGCGCCACCUUACUGAUCGCUUUAUUUUCAUUGGUUCUUGCGAAAUAUGCACUUGCUCUAUCGCAAUAGUGAUCUACAUUUAUAAAACCUAGAAUUAAAAUAAAAAAAUAAAACUAGAUUAAAGAAUAAUUCGUGACAAUUAUUCGAUUAAUAUAUAUACCAUUUAUUUGAAAGUUAAUCUAUUUGAAAGUGAAAUAACAAUUACUUUAAGAAUGAUGAGAUGAUUUGAUGAUAUUAUAUGAAAAAGAGUGUGAUAGCUUCUGGAUUCAUAUUCGCCUAUAGAAUAUUUACACAAGCGCAUGUGUACACUCUUUGAUUCUCUAAGACACUAAUUGCGAGCCACGUCUGGCUGGCUCUCGAGGCACUAAAUUAAUUAAUGGCAUACCAAAUGACGAGUCGUGCGAAGAUUCGCCCGGCGAGCCCUCAUUGCCUGAAAAAAGCAAAAUAAUACGGCAUACGAUCGUGCCACGAAUAUCAAUGCUUCUUUCGUUGUCAUCAAGAAGCAGAGUCUCAUGCUCGUUAACUAUGUGUAUCAUCCUAUCGUUUUUUAACUUCCCUCCCUCUUUUCCUUUUACUUUGCCUACUUUUUUCAAUCUUUUUCAAUUCUCUCUUUUACCAUCAUCAGAAUAAAUUAUAUGCGUUGCAAUGUCGUAGCUCACAGGAUGUAUUUAAUAUAUGUCUUUAAUACUGUCAUAAUUGUAUAAAUAGUUUUAAUAAUACAUGUCGUCUCCAAGAAA